GAUGAACGCUGGCGGCGUGCCUAAUACAUGCAAGUCGAGCGAACGGACGAGAAGCUUGCUUCUCUGAUGUUAGCGGCGGACGGGUGAGUAACACGUGGAUAACCUACCUAUAAGACUGGGAUAACUUCGGGAAACCGGAGCUAAUACUGGAUAAUAUUUUGAACCGCAUGGUUCAAAAGUGAAAGACGGUUUUGCUGACACUUAUAGAUGGAGCCGCGCUGCAUUAGCUAGUUGGUAAGGUAACGGCUUACCAAGGCAACGAUGCAUAGCCGACCUGAGAGGGUGAUCGGCCACACUGGAACUGAGACACGGUCCAGACUCCUACGGGAGGCAGCAGUAGGGAAUCUUCCGCAAUGGGCGAAAGCCUGACGGAGCAACGCCGCGUGAGUGAUGAAGGUCUUCGGAUCGUAAAACUCUGUUAUUAGGGAAGAACAUAUGUGUAAGUAACUGUGCACAUCUUGACGGUACCUAAUCAGAAAGCCACGGCUAACUACGUG
rnacentral:rRNA from 1 species